rnacentral:rRNA from 1 species
GAUGAACGCUGGCGGCGUGCCUAAUACAUGCAAGUCGAACGGUCGACUUCGGUCGAUAGUGGCGAACGGGUGAGUAACGCGUUGGUGACCUGCCCCGAAGAGCGGGAUAACAGACCGAAAGGUUUGCUAAUACCGCAUGAUCUGGUGGAAGAUUAGAAGUCUAUCAGGAAAGGGGGAAAUCCGCUUUGGGAGGGGCCUGCGUCCCAUCAGCUAGUUGGUAAGGUAACGGCUUACCAAGGCGAUGACGGGUAGGGGACCUGAGAGGGUGGCCCCCCCAAAUGGAACUGGAACACGGUCCAUACACCUACGGGUGGCAGCAGUAGGGAAUAUUGGUAAUGGGCGCAAGCCUGAACCAGCAACGCCGCGUGUGCGAUGAAGGCCUUCGGGUGGUAAAGCACUUUUUACCGGGAAGAGGAAGGACGGUACCGGUAGAAUAAGCCUCGGCUAACUACGUGCCAGCCGCCGCCGUAACAC